AUUGAACGCUGGCGGCAGGCCUAACACAUGCAAGUCGAGCGAAGCGGCGGAUGGGUGAGUAACGCGUGGGUAACCUGCACUUAAGUCUGGGAUACCAUUUGGAAACAGAUGCUCAUACCGGAUCCUAAAGGAUGGACCUGCGAUGCAUUAGCUAGUUGGUAAGGUAACGGCUUACCAAGGCGAUGAUGCAUAGCCGAGUUGAGAGACUGAUCGGCCACAUUGGGACUGAGACACGGCCCAAACUCCUACGGGAGGCAGCAGUAGGGAAUCUUCCACAAUGGACGAAAGUCGGAUGGAGCAACGCCGCGUGAGUGAAGAAGGGUUUCGGAUCGUAAAGCUCUGUUGUUGGUGAAGCGGUAAUCAACCAGAAAGUCACGGCUAACUACGUGCCAGCAGCCGCGGUAAUUC
rnacentral:rRNA from 1 species